AACACCUAAAGAUUUAAAUUGUAAAGACAAAGAAUCAAAUAAUUAAUGUUAAUAACAACAACAUCAAACAUGAAUCAAUGGUGAUGCAGGAAAAUCGGUAAAUUGUUGAUCUAAUCUGAUACAUCUAAAGGAAGCGGAAGACAGUGGACAUCUUUAUAUUAUAUAGAUAAUCAAAUCCAUCAUCAUCAUCAUCAUCGAGAGAGAGAAGGGAUCAAAUGAUGGAGAUAAAUUAAUGAGCAAUUGAUUCAAAAGACGGAAAAGUAAAGAAAAGAAACAUGGAAAAGAGAAAGAUACAAGACAAAAGGAAUAUGGUUGAAAAGAAAAGGAAUGGUCAAAGAUUCCGAGUAGAGAGAAUUAUUAUUUUAACAACUAUCAAGUGACCAAAUGAUAACAAUCAAGAGAAAACAAUAAACUACAAAUUCUCUCUCUUCUUAUGAUAGAAUUACAUGAGAAAAGGAAGAGGAAAAAACUCGUAAUUGACGGUGGGUGAAGAAAAGGUCAGAAAUCUCAGUGACAAGCCCAAAGAAAUAUGGAUCAAGAUGAAUUAUUACACAUCCAUGGAUGAGAAAAUAAAGGGGAAAUACAAAUAUCAAACCAGAGACAAGUUUAAGUUGCACGGAGGGAAAACAAAGAUUAAGCUCCUCUCAUAAUGAUGAUGAUGAUGAUGAUGGUGAUAAUAAUAAUGAUAACUGUCUCAAUCUAAACCUGUAACCAAUGCAAUUAGUUUAAUCAUCUUUCCACCAAAACUUUCAAUUGUUCACACACCAGAUAAACAAGAGAAAACCGCAAUCAUCAUCAACCUUAUUAUCAACUCAUCAAUAUUGAGGAUAAUAUUUACAUUGAGCUAAUAUGAAUAUCGACAAACCCAAAGUUUUCACCAUAUUAACCUGAGGACAAUUUCCAAUCAUUAAUCAUAAACAAUCGUAUCAUCAAAGGAAACCCUUAAUUGAAAGAUUGAUAUUCCCAUUGGAGACAAUGAAUUGGUUCAAAGGUUGAACAAAAGAGGAACCAUCUCAACGUUAUCAUAAUAGACAAGAUAAACAGCUGAGUAAAUUGAGAAAACUAUUUUAUCAUCAGUUGUUUACUUCAAGUAAAUCAAUGAUUUUCUCAUCUUGGCUUCAUCAUAUUUUCAUCAUUAUCAUCAUUGUUUACUACUGUUUUCACUUUGAUUCAUCACUGGUGAUGAGGCUCAUUGAUAAUAUCCUUACAUUGGUUAUAAAAGAUUCACUUUUCUCAAGAGGAUUCCCGAUUUUCAUCAACUAACCAUCAUCAUUAUUAUCAGAAUCAGAUAAAGAACAAUUUACUAUUCAAUGAAAUUUCGGAAAAAAAACUAAAAGUUUUAAUCGAACGAUAAUUUUAAUCAUAAUUACCUAGAACAAUGGCCAGU